UGCAGUCGAACGAUACUUUCCAGGCUUGCUGCUCAGGAAAGUGGCGCACGGGUGCGUAACGCGUAUGCAACCUACCUUAAUCAGGGGGAUAGCCCGAAGAAAUUCGGAUUAACACCGCAUAAAAACACAGUACAGCAUUGUACAAUGUUCAAAUAUUUAUAGGAUUAAGAUGGGCAUGCGUGUCAUUAGCUAGUUGGCGGGGUAACGGCCCACCAAGGCGACGAUGACUAGGGGAUCUGAGAGGAUGACCCCCCACACUGGUACUGAGACACGGACCAGACUCCUACGGGAGGCAGCAGUAAGGAAUAUUGGUCAAUGGAGGCAACUCUGAACCAGCCAUGCCGCGUGCAGGAAGACAGCCCUCUGGGUCGUAAACUGCUUUUAUUCGGGAAUAAACCUUUCUACGUGUAGGAAGCUGAAUGUACCGAAGGAAUAAGGAUCGGCUAACUCCGUGCCAGCAGCCGCGGUAAUACGGAGGAUCCAAGCGUUAUCCGGAUUUAUUGGGUUUAAAGGGUGCGUAGGCGGCUUAUUAAGUCAGGGGUGAAAGACGGUGGCUCAACCAUCGCAGUGCCUUUGAUACUGAUGAGCUUGAAUGAACUAGAGGUAGGCGGAAUGUGACAAGUAGCGGUGAAAUGCAUAGAUAUGUCACAGAACACCGAUUGCGAAGGCAGCUUACUAUGGUUUUAUUGACGCUGAGGCACGAAAGCGUGGGGAUCAAACAGGAUUAGAUACCCUGGUAGUCCACGCCCUAAACGAUGAAUACUCGCUGUUAGCGAUAUACAGUUAGCGGCUA
rnacentral:rRNA from 2 species